UUUUUUUUUUUUUUUUUGCUUUUUCUAGGGCCGCUCCUGCGGCAUAUGGAGGUUCCCAGGCGAGGGGUCCAAUCAGAGCUGCAGCCGCCGGCCUCCACCACAGCCACAGCCACGCCAGACCUGAGCCGCAUCUGCGACCGACACCACAGCUCACGGCAGGGAUGGAACCCGCACCCUCACGGUUCCUCGUCGGAUUCGUUCAUGCCGGGAACUCCUGUCUUGCUUGGUUUCUUGAUGUCGCACAGCAGCGCCCUGUGCUAGCUAGUGCCCGUUGGCUCGGUGUUGUGUUGGAGGUGCGUCUGUGUGGUUGAUGUGCCAGUUCAUCGUUCUUUUUCAUGGCGUGCAGCUUUCCAUGGCGUGGAUAGUCCACAGCUUAGCCACUCUAAUACUGGUGGAGGUUUGGCUUAUUUUAUGACUGAUGUGAAUCAAGCUGGUAGGCACGUUCCUGUAUGUGGGUUUUGGCGGAUAAGAGUGCUCCUUUUGGGGCGUUCCUGCUGUGGCUCAGCAGCUUACGAACCUGACUAGCGGUAUUCAUGAGGAUGCAGGUUCGAUGCCUAGCCUCUCUCAGUGGGCUAAGGAUCCUCUGAGGGUUCCUGUGAGCUGUGGUGUAGGUCCCAGACGAGGCUCAGAUCCCACAUUGCCGUGGCUGUGGUAUAGGGCAGCAGCUGCAGCUCUGAUUGGAUCCCUAGCCCAGGACACACGCAGCAAAGGAACAAAAAAGUGCUUCUUUUUCUUGAGUAUAUACCUGAAGUGAAAUUGCUGACAAUUCAUGUGGUCUGACUUUAGAGGAUACUGCCUGAGAGUUUUUCUAAGUGGUUUUAUUAUAUGCUAAUUAAAAAAAUUAGCACGGUGGUAAAACACACGCACAUUUUUAUUGUACGGUCAUUUGAACUUUAAUGCGGAUGUAGAUUCGUGUAUUCACUGCUACGUCACAGUCAGGACGCAGAGCAGUUCCAGCACCCAGAAAAGCUCCCUCUUGCUGUUCCUGGGCAGUCACGCUCUCCACCACCCUUAACUCUGGACAGCCAGGACUUCCUUGCUGUGAUUUUUGUCUUUGGGAGAAGUCAUAUAAAUGGAAUCAUAUGGUGUGUAACUUUUUUAAAUCUUUUUUUUUUUUUGAGGCCUGCACUCGAGGCAUAUGGAGGUUCCCAGUCUAGGGGUCGAAUUGGAGCCGUAGCCGCUGGCCUAUGCUACGGCCACGGGAAUACCAGAUCCUAGCCUCCUCCGCUGCCUAUACCACAGCUCAUGGCAACUCCAGAUCCUUGACCUGCUGAGCAAGGCCAGGGUUCAGACCUGCGUCCUCAUGGAUCCUAGUCAGGUUCGUUUCUGCUGCGCCACAACGGGAACUCCAGUAUGAAACUUUGGGAGGCUGGUUCCUUUCACCUGUAGUCACACUGAGCUUCAUCCUUGUUGUUGCAGGUACCAGUGGCUGCUUUUUACUGCCACGUCAAGACCUGUGCCGAAGCUUGCAGUGUUCCUUUGUAUGGAUUUCGCACAAUUACCUGUUCUCCCAUCGGUGCAUGUUGAGGUUUCGAUGAUGAUAAAUAGGGCUUCCGUAAACAAUUGUGUGUAGGGUUUUGUGUGAAAGUAAAUGUUCAGUUCUCGGGGGUAGAUACCAAGGAGCCGGAACAGGGUCAUGAGAGAAUGUUAUAGGAAGUUGCCAAGCUGUUUUUCGGAAUGGCUGUACCAUUUUGACCUUCCACCAGCAGUGAUGACAGUUAGUUGCCCUGCGUCCAAGCUAACAUCCAUAUUGUCAGUAGAUUUUAUUUUAACCAUUUUAAUAAGUAGAUGUGUGGUGGCGUUGUGGCUUUAAGUUACAUUUCCCUAAUGACUGCUGCUAUCGAACACUUAACAUAUGUUUGUUUGCCAUUCUUGUAUCCUCUUGGGUGAAGUGUUUGAGACUCCGCUUAUUUAUUUAUUUGUUAAUUUUUGGCUGCUCCCAUGGCGUAUGGAAGUUCCCUGGCGAGGGGUCAGACCCAAGCUGCUGCUGUGACCUAGGCCAUAGCUGCAGCAACGCAUUGCGUCAGGCUGGGGAUCAAACCUGCACUUCCACAGAGACAAGCUGCAUUACAGUGGGAACUCCUGUUUUUUUUUUUACUCUUGAGUGUUUUUGGGGUUUUUUUUAGGGCCACACCUGAGACAUAUGGAAGUUCCUGGGCUAGGGAUUCAAUCGAGCUGCAGUUGCCACCCUACACCAAGCACAGCGAUGCCGAUGCCGGAUCGGAGCCGCAUCUGCGACCUGUGCUGCGGUUGCAGCAGAGCUGGAUCAAGGCCAGGGAUCAAAUCUGCAUCUUCAUGGAUACUAGUUGGGUUUUUAUUUUUUUGCUCUUUAGGGUCACACCUGCAACAUAUGGAAGUUUCCAGGCUAAGGGUCAAAUUGGAGCUGCAUCUGCUGGCCUACACCACAGCCACAGCCACCCUGACUCCUUAACCUACUGACUGAGGCCAGGGAUCGAACCCGAAUCUUCAUGGAUACUAGUCUGGUUCGGAACCUACUGAGCCACAGCGGGAACUCCACCGGUUGCGUCCUUAACCCUCUGAGCCGCGCUGGGAAUGCCUCUUUUGUGCGGGUUAUUUCUGGACUCGAUUCUGCUCUGUUGGUCUGUGGGUCUAUCCCAUCGCCUAUACACGACAGGCAAAAACUUCCAAGAUGAUUUCUCCAACUGAAAAAAAGUGUUUUUGGUAUUUAGUCAUUUUUUUGGUUUUGUUUUGUUUUUGUUUUUGUUUUCUGUUUUUUUGUCUUUUUGCCAUUUCUUGGGCCGCUCCCACGGCAUAUGGGGGUUCCCAGGCUAGGGGUCGAAUCGGAGCUGAAGCCACUGGCCUACGCCAGAGCCACAGCAACGCGGGAUCCGAGCCGCGUCUGCGACCUACACCACAGCUCACGGCAACGCCGGAUCGUUAACCCACUGAGCAAGGACAGGGACCGAACCCGCAACCUCAUGGUUCCUAGUUGGGUUCGUUAACCACUGCGCCACGCCGGGAACUCCCAUUUGUUUUUUUUUUUUUUAAUACAUUUUAGAAUCAACUUGUCCAUGUCUACAAAUAAUUCUAGUAUUUAAUUUGAGGAGUUCCCUCAUGGCUCAAAGGGGUAAGAAUCUGGCAUUUCACUGCAGUAGCUCUGGUAACUGUGACACAGGUUCCAUCCUGGCCGGGAACUUGCACAUGCCAAAAAAACCAGUAAUUUGAAUCUCCUUAAAACUGUAGGUCAGUUUGGCGGGGAGCCGAGGUAUUUGCUGUUGACUCUUCCAGUCUGUGAACACGGCGUGUGUUUCUCUCUGGUCGUCUUUGAUUUGUGGAUUCAUUGGCAUUUUCCCGGUGAGUCGUCAUAUUGUCUGCGAGUAGGGCAUUUUUUGGUUUGUCUUCCACCCUGGGUGCCUUUUCCUUCCUCUGCUUGCUUGCUUUCGUGCGCUUGGUAGGGCUUUAGAACCGUUUCCUUGUUCUUGAUUUUCGGGGGAGCAUCCAGCCUGUCGCAGUGUGUCUGCUGGAGGGUUUUCCUCAGAUGCCCGUUGCCAUGAUGGGGAAGUUUUUAAGUUUCUAUUCACAGAUAUGAAAGCUUGUCAGGUGCUUUUUUGGAUCGGUUGGUGUGGCCGUGUUUUUCUCUUCUUUAGACUGUCACUGUGGUAGGUGACGUCAUUGAUCUUUUCAUACUGAACCAGCUUUGCAUUCCUGGACUAGACCCCACUUGGUCAGGGUGUGUGUGUGUGUGUGUGUGUGAGAGAGACCCCACUUGGUCAGGGUGUGUGUGUGUGUGUGUGAGACCCCACUUGGUCAGGGUGUGUGUGUGUGUGUGUGUGAGAGAGACCCCACUUGGUCAGGGGUGUGUGUGUGUGUGUGACCCCAUUUGGUCAGGGUGUAUGACCCCACUUGGUCAGGGGUGUGUGUGUGUGUGUGUGACCCCACUUGGUCAGGGUGUGUGUGGUGUGUGUGUGUGUGUAUGACCCCACUUGGUCAGGGGUGUGUGUGUGUGUGUGUGUGUGGGGUGUGUGUGUGUGUGUGAGAGAGACCCCACUUGGUCAGGGGUGUGUGUGUGUGUGUGUGUGUGUGUGUGUGUGUGAGUGAGACGUUCCCGGGCCGGGGCUGGAACCUGUGCCUUAGCAGCCCCUUGGGCCGUUGCGGUGGCCCUGCUGGCCCCUUGGCCCUGCCCCAGAGGAGGGCGCACCUUACCCGCGUUUUGUUGAGCGUUGCUGUGUCUGUUUUAUAAGGACGUGUCCAUCGUUCUUGUUUUAUGACAUCCUUGCCUGGCUUUUCCUUGAUGACACCUUUGCUUGUUCUUCUUGCUGUACCUUGUCAGCCAGACUCUGGCCAAAUGGACAGGCUCUUGUCUUUCUUGCUCUCAGCUGGCUUCCGUCCGCUUUGGCGUCCCAGCGCCUUUGUCUGGCACUGGGGCAGCCACGUUGUUCUGCUUGUGUGGUGGGGCCUGCACGGCGUGGACGGGCCACGUCCUUCUCACCUCUGUGCCUUUGUUGGGCUGUUUCUGCGUAGCGUUUCUCUUCCUUCUUUGCCCAGUGACCGCUGCGUCUUCCCAGGAGGGGUCGCGUGCUGUCUCUGUGGGAAGCAUUGCCAUCACCAUGCUAGGCCUGGCUGUUGCUGCCCGUCUGGGUUCCCCUGGAGCCUGUCCUCAGCUGGGCCAGAGACGUUAGACUGGGUUGCAGUCAUUGCUUUAUCGGAACGUUUUCUUCCUUUUUCUUUUUGUUCAUUUACUUAUUUUUUAGAUACUGUUUCAUUAUUUAUUUUACUGCCCUUGCUUAUGGGCCUUCCGGGCUCUCUGCCGUCCACGUGUGGCACUGUCGUGGUGUCUCCUUCCCUCCGGCUUUGGUGAACGUGCUCACCCCCUUGCCUGCAGCACUCACCUUGAUGCAGGAGAGUCUGUGUCCACUUCUUCCUCUCAAGCUCAGACCUGACACUUGACGUCUUUCCCGUGUGGUGUUAGAGAGUUCCCAUCACAGCUGGGAACUCAAAUGGUUGAUCAGUGAGUCUGACGUUGUGGCUGUUCUCACUAGAAUGACCAUUGCGGCAGGUGAGCUCAGCUUGUCUUGUCCCUGUUGAAAGUAAACUCUUCUUUCCAAACUACAAAAUAGUUCUUGGGUUUACUGGUUGGUUUGCUGGAAAACUUAUCAAAAGAAGCUUUUGUCUAAAGCUCUCAGGCCAGCUGUAUGUGUUUGUACGCUGGACACAUCCGUCAGGUAAGAAGAUUGGCUAGGGAGUUCCCUGGUGGCCUAGCCAGUCGAGCAUCCUGUAUUGUCACAGGUUUGAUCCCUGGCCCAGGAACUUCUGCAUCUGCAGGGGUGUCCCCCCCAAAAAAAA
rnacentral:lncRNA from 1 species